rnacentral:misc_RNA from 1 species
AACGCACCUUGCGCUCCUUGGUAUUCCGAGGAGCAUGCCUGUUUGAGUGUCAUUAAAUUCUCAACCCCGAAUCGAUUUGUUUCGAGAUCGGAGGCUUGGACUUGGAGCGUGCUGGCCCUCACCCGGGUCGGCUCCUCUUUAAACGCAUCAGCGGAACUUCCUUUGGUCUUCCCGGUCAUCAGUGUGAUAAUCAUGUCUCGCUGUUGGCUUAGAUCAGAGUCCGCUUACAAUCGUCUUCGGACAACUUUUAUACCAAUUUGACCUCAAAUCAGGUAGGACUACCCGCUGAACUUAA